GACCAAGAAGUCUAACGGACACGCAAGUCGAAGGGUCGUAUACGAAACCCCGAGGCGCAAUGAAAGUGAAGGUCGGUGUAGGCCGCCUUCGGUGGGAUCCCAGGUCUACCCACGGCCAGGGCGCACCACCGCCCCGUCUCACCCCGCAUUGUUCGGAGAGGCGGAGGAAGAGCGUGUACGCUAGGAUAUGCCCGAGCAGGAUGAAGCCAGAGGAAACUCUGGUGGAGGUCCGCAGCGAUUCUGACGUGCAAAUCGAUCGCCCGACUUGGGUAUAGGGGCGAAAGACUAAUCGAACCAUCUA
rnacentral:rRNA from 1 species